UAGGGAAUCUUCCGCAAUGGACGCAAGUCUGACGGAGCAACGCCGCGUGAGUGAAGAAGGAUUUCGGUUCGUAAAACUCUGUUGUUAGAGAAGAACAGCGCAUAGAGUAACUGUUAUGCGUGUGACGGUAUCUAACCAGAAAGCCACGGCUAACUACGUGCCAGCAGCCGCGGUAAUACGUAGGUGGCAAGCGUUGUCCGGAUUUAUUGGGCGUAAAGCGAGCGCAGGCGGUCAAUUAAGUCUGAUGUGAAAGCCCCCGGCUCAACCGGGGAGGGUCAUUGGAAACUGGUUGACUUGAGUGCAGAAGAGGAGAGUGGAAUUCCUAGUGUAGCGGUGAAAUGCGCAGAUAUUAGGAGGAAUACCGGUGGCGAAGGCGACUUUCUGGCCAUAAUCUGACGCUGAGGUACGAAAGCGUGGGUAGCAAACAGG
rnacentral:rRNA from 1 species